AAACCAUCAUCAUCCAUAUUCCCCUGCGCAGUACACAAGAUUGAUUGACCACUGGACCGACGUAGGAAAACCAAAACAAAAAAUCAUGGUGUCUCAAAAUAAAAGUUAAGUAUCUAUAAGAGAGGAGGGAAUCAGGAGGCUUAUCUGACCUUACUUAACUAGCGUUGUUUAUAAUGCAUAUACAAGUGGAAAAGUUUCAGAGAAUGAGUUUGAUGAAUGAACUUACAGUGACCACCAUUGGAGCAAAA